UACAGAGGCCUCGAGCGUUAGGCGGAAUCACUGGGCUUAAAGCGUGUGUAGGCGGACUUCUAAGUGCCUUGUGAAAUCCCACGGCUCACCCGUGGAACUGCUGGGCAUACUGGUCGUCUUGAGCCACCUAGGGGCUGCCGGAACAAAUGGUGGAGCGGUGAAAUGCGUAGAUAUCAUUUGGAACGCCAAUGGUGAAAACAGGUCGCUGGGAGUGUGCUGACGCUGAGACACGAAAGCCAGGGGAGCAAACGGG
rnacentral:rRNA from 1 species